UUCAGGGGUAAACCUGAGAAACCCGAAAGGUCGAAAGGGGAAAUUCAUCGCGUCUCGAACGUCGGAGCGAAACGUUCGCGUGACGGACGGCGCGCGCAAGCGCGUUCGUCCGCGCCCUUCGUUUCGCGCGUCGGCGUCGAACGCGUGCACUUUUCCCCUAGUAGGACGUCGCGAUCCGUUGGGCGUCGGUCUAAGGUCCGCGUGGGAGCCCGGGCGCUCGUUUCGCGACGUAGCGCUCGGACCCGCGGUGUCCCGGCCGGCUCGCUCGACGGUAUACAGAUGGCGCGGGGCCGCUACCUUCACAGUUAGCGUUCGGCCCGCGGCAAGCGCGUCCGCUAGCGACGGCGAUCGGACCCGGUGCCGGUCCUGUCCACGGACGACUGUUGGCCGCGGUGUUCUCGAACAGACCUCGUCUCUCGAAACGCCGAUCUGCGACGCUAUAGCUUUGGGUACUUUCAGGACCCACGGACCAAGGAGUCUAGCAUGUGCGCGAGUCAUUGGGACAUAACUAAACCUAAAGGCGCAAUGAAAGUGAAGGCUCGCCUCGCGCGAGCCGAGGGAAGAUGGGCGGUUCGCGUUCGCUCGCGACCGCUCCGCACUCCCGGGGCGUCUCGUUCUCAUCGCGAGAAGAGGCGCACCAAGAGC
rnacentral:rRNA from 1 species